GACUAUUUUGCCAACACACCCUUU
rnacentral:siRNA from 1 species